rnacentral:lncRNA from 1 species
AGGAGAGUCCUUCCUGCAGCUGCGGCAGCGCCUCCUGAGGGAGAAGGAGGUGAAGCUCCGGAGGGCCCUGGAGAGGCUGCGCAGGAAGAGGCAGCUCCUGCGGAGGCAGCGCGCCAAGCGGGAGUUCCCGGUGGUCGCCGUGGUCGGGUACACCAACUGCGGUGAGGCGCCGCCCGCAGAGUGCGGCCUCGGCAGGGCAGGGCCCAGGCCCGGGUUCCGCGGCCGGCCCCGCAGCGAAGGCCAGAGACAGCUGCGGGCAGCUCUGCAGAGGCCCGAGCAGGACGCGGGGUCUGGCUCCCCUGGUCGCUGCCCAGGAUAAACGCCCGCGGCCAGCCCGCCGUGUGCGCGCUCUGCACGCGGGAGGAUCCAGGUCCGCACCCCCGGGGCCCCGGGGCCCUGCCUGAGAAGGGGCAGCCAGGUAUGGCCCAGGUGCCCCCGAGGCAGGUCCAGGGAGCAGCCCAGUGGGGAGGCCGGUCACCAGGGGCCACCACAAAGCCACCUUCAGACCCAGUUCCUACACCAUCCUCAAGACACCACUGCACAGCGCCAGGCCCGUGUACACCACCCCACACCAGGUACACGAACCAGGUCUGUCUACACCACCCGCAAGAACCAGGUCCGUCUCCACCACCCCACACCAGGUGCAGGAACCAAGUCCAUCCACACCACCCCACCCCAGGUGCAGGAACCAGGUCCAUCCACACCACCCCACACCAGGCUGGUCCACAGCACCCACCCCACCAUCUACACCGCAUGCUGUGUGCACACGUCACCUGCACCACCACCCCUCCUGGCUGCACACGACCCAGGGCUAGUCCUGUACCUUCCCUCUCUGGCCACCAGGGUCGCUGAGGAGCUGGCACCCAGGGCCUGGGUAAACUGGAUCUUGCUGCCUCUGCCAGGGCCGGGUCUCAGGGGUGGACAGGGCCUGUGGCCAGGCCAGGCGGGGCUCCCUGGGACCUCGUGUGUGUGUCCUGUGCCUCCCCCAGGGAAAACCACACUGAUCCGGGCCCUGACGGGUGACGAGGCCGCGCAGCCUCGGGACCAGCUGUUUGCCACACUGGACAUCACGGCCCAUGCAGGAUCCCUGCCCUCGCGCAUGACCGUCCUCUACAUGGACACCAUCGGCUUCCUCUCCCAGCUGCCCCACGGCCUGAUCGAGUCCUUCUCUGCCACCCUGGAGGAUGUGGCCCACUCGGUGAGUUGGGUGGCCCUGUGGACAAGACCCCAUAGACAAGCCCUGGGGGCCAGGCCCCUCCGUAGGACAUGAUCCUCCAGCUCCAGCAGGAGUCCCUGGGCCUCCCCAGGGGACAGAAACCACAGGAGUCCAGCUCCCCCAGCCCUGGAGGGCAGAGGCUGGACCAGGGGUCACAGGCUCCAGGGAGGCUCCUCCUACCUGUCCAGCUCCUGGGGCCCAGGCGCGGAGGUGAGCGGACGGGCAGUGUGACUGGUGGCGCAGCCAGGAACCUCCCAUGCAAACCGUCUCGCGGUCCAGCCCCGACGGGGUGGACUGUCCCCACCCGUGGGCCACGCUUCUCCUGGAGAAGUUGCAGAAGUCACAAUGACCUCACGGAGGCCCAGGCUGUGCGUGGGGGCCAGGGCAGGGCGCCGGCCAGCCUCCACGGGCAGCUCCUCGUUCUGGGGCCCGGGAGGCCAGGCCAGCCACUGGAGACGGGGUGCUGGCGGGCGGUGGCAGGACCCAGGCACAGGAACUAGGAAGCCUGUGUCCACCUCGGACAUGUCCUGGCCUCCAGCAGCCCUGUCUUGGGGGUCAGGGCCACCCCCACUGCCACCUUCCUAGGCGGUGGUGCCCUCGAGCCCCUCCUGGGCCUCCCACAGGCAGGUGAGCACGACCCCGGAGCCCCGUCCCCAGCCUGUUUUGUGUUUUAUUAGAGACUGGGUCUCCUUGAGCUGCUUAGGGCCUCACCUUUACCCCCUGACCAUGUGGCCUGUCCACAGGCAGCUGGGGACGGCAGCCCUGCAGCCCCCUGACCAUGUGGCCUAUCCACAAGCAGGUGGGGACAGCAGUCCCCUGACCAUGUACCUGUCCACAGGCAGCUGGGGACGGCAGCCCUGCAGCCCCCUGACCAUGUACCUGUCCACAGGCCGGUGGGGACGGCAGCCCCCUGACCAUGUGGCCUGUCCACAGGCAGGUGGGGAUGGAAGUCCCCUGACCCGUGGCCUCCCUGUCCACCAGGAUCUCAUUGUGCACGUGAGAGACGUCAGCCACCCCGAGACGGAGCUGCAGAAAGUCAGCGUCCUGUCUGCCCUGCAGGGCCUGGGCCUGCCCGCCCCUCUGCUGGACUCCGUGGUCGAAGUGCACAACAAGGUGGAUCUGGUUCCGGGGUGAGUGGGCCGCGCUGCACCCACAGGCUUCUCC